CCUCAGCAGAAUAACAUCAUAUCUAAAAUCAUCUCCAUUAAAGUAGUUCAUUUCACAUGUCAUGUUGGUAAUCAGUGACAGAUGAUGAAUACAGAGUAAUAAUAAAUAACACUACUAUCUUUUUUACGAUAUAUGUUUGGUUAAUCAUUUCUUAAAUAAUAGUUUGAAAUAAUAGUACUUGAUGAUUAGGUUGAUCAUUAGCUUCAUGUUUCGGAUUACGACAUAGAAGUCAACCACAUAUAUAUAUAUAUAUAUAUAUUAGGGUUCUACCCAUGAUUAUCUAUAGAGAGCUUGAAUAUUAUCAUUUUUGUGCAACUUGAGAAUGCGGAAAAAUUUAUUCAGAAACACUACUGUAUUUGCUAUAUAUGUAGCUUUUAUAUUGAUGCAAAUUCUGUGGUGUUUUGUCUUCACAGAAGCAAGAAUUCCCCGGUUCUCAGCUAUCGAAGAAAGUUUGAUCAAGAGGAGCACCAGGGAAGUUCCUGCAUCAAUCUUCAGUCCAACACCAAAUCCAACGCAUGGAAACACCCAACAAUAAAACCAGUCUAAUCAUGUGAUUAAUCUCUAUCCUAUGCACACAACUUAGGAUGAUUUACUAGUGUAAUUCUUGCAUAAAUAUGAAGCCCGGAGUUGUAAGAGAUCAUCAUCUUCCUUGUAUCAAAUGUAGGGAUAAUGUACAUUAGACCCUCUAUUGCUACUCAAAUUACCCUGUAAAUAUAGAAUUGGAUAUGUUAUGACUUGUUUCAUAUCAUUGUACUGCAUCAUCAUUAAUAAUCUAUGGAUGUUUAAUUUACUUA